rnacentral:rRNA from 3 species
CCUGGCGGCCGUAGCGCGGUGGUCCCACCUGACCCCAUGCCGAACUCAGAAGUGAAACGCCGUAGCGCCGAUGGUAGUGUAGGGUCUCCCCAUGCGAGAGUAGGGAACUGCCAGGC